GCUGCCCCUACCCCACUUACCCUACCUACAAGAGGAGGAAUCUGAGGCUCAGAGGAUGCAGACAUCGUGUCCAUGGUACCCACGUCAGAAACCGUUAAAGUAGCCAGCAGACACGAAAUCAGACUUCUCGCCACCAAACUCUGCUUAGAAGACAUGAACCACAACCCGCAGGCCUCCUGAGAACCUGUCUGACGAAAUAAGAUGUCACGUAUUUAGCUGUCUUGUGGAGAAGCCCACAUGGCCAACAGCCAACAGCCAAUGAGGAACAGAAUCUCAUCAACGAUCAUGUGAAUGAGCUUGGAAACGGUUCCUUCCCCAAGUCGAGCUUAAGAUGACUACAGCCCCAGCCAGCACCUUCACUGCAGCCUGGGAGAGAUCUUGAGCAAGGAGCCCCAGCGAAGCCAUGCCUGCAUGCCUGACCUACCCAAGCAGUGAGAAAAUGUUUUAAGCCACUAAAUUGGGGGGAUAAUUCGUUAUGUGGCAAUAGAUCAUUAAUGUAUAUCCUUUGCCCAUGUUUUUUUUUUAAUUUUUUGAUUUGUAGACAUUCUAUACAAUACAGUUGAAAAGUCCUUUGUGUGUGAUACAUGUCACAACUAUUUUCUACUAAUCUUUUGCUUACUAUUAAUUUUGUUUACUUGUGUAUUUUAUUAUACAGACUUCAAAGUUUUGAUGUCUUCAAAUCAUUUAUUUGAAUUUCAUUUGAAAGAUUUCAUGCACAUCUUUUCUUCUAUGGCUUUUAAAUUUCAAGUCUUGUUUAAAAAGGUCUUCACUCCCUCAGAGUCGUAAACAUAUAUUUGUUUAUUUCUUUCUCCUAACCUCCAAUGUAAGUUCCAUGAGGGCAGGGGCUCUGAGCCUUGCUCCUCUCCGGAUCCACAGUCCCUCAGUAUAGUGCCUCGCAAGGAGCUGGCAUUCAGGAAGGCUUGAAGGCCUUCC